rnacentral:rRNA from 1 species
GUCGAACGAUGAACCGCUUUCGGGCGGGGAUUAGUGGCGAACGGGUGAGUAACACGUGGGCAAUCUGCCCUGCACUCUGGGACAAGCCCUGGAAACGGGGUCUAAUACCGGAUAUGACUGUCCAUCGCAUGGUGGAUGGUGUAAAGCUCCGGCGGUGCAGGAUGAGCCCGCGGCCUAUCAGCUUGUUGGUGAGGUAGUGGCUCACCAAGGCGACGACGGGUAGCCGGCCUGAGAGGGCGACCGGCCACACUGGGACUGAGACACGGCCCAAACUCCUACGGGAGGCAGCAGUGGGGAAUAUUGCACAAUGGGCGAAAGCCUGAUGCAGCGACGCCGCGUGAGGGAUGACGGCCUUCGGGUUGUAAACCUCUUUCAGCAGGGAAGAAGCGAAAGUGACGGUACCUGCAGAAGAAGCGCCGGCUAACUACGUGCCAGCAGCCGCGGUAAUACGUAGGGCGCAAGCGUUGUCCGGAAUUAUUGGGCGUAAAGAGCUCGUAGGCGGCUUGUCACGUCGGUUGUGAAAGCCCGGGGCUUAACCCCGGGUCUGCAGUCGAUACGGGCAGGCUAGAGUUCGGUAGGGGAGAUCGGAAUUCCUGGUGUAGCGGUGAAAUGCGCAGAUAUCAGGAGGAACACCGGUGGCGAAGGCGGAUCUCUGGGCCGAUACUGACGCUGAGGAGCGAAAGCGUGGGGAGCGAACAGGAUUAGAUACCCUGGUAGUCCACGCCGUAAACGGUGGGCACUAGGUGUGGGCAACAUUCCACGUUGUCCGUGCCGCAGCUAACGCAUUAAGUGCCCCGCCUGGGGAGUACGGCCGCAAGGCUAAAACUCAAAGGAAUUGACGGGGGCCCGCACAAGCGGCGGAGCAUGUGGCUUAAUUCGACGCAACGCGAAGAACCUUACCAAGGCUUGACAUACACCGGAAACGUCUGGAGACAGGCGCCCCCUUGUGGUCGGUGUACAGGUGGUGCAUGGCUGUCGUCAGCUCGUGUCGUGAGAUGUUGGGUUAAGUCCCGCAACGAGCGCAACCCUUGUCCCGUGUUGCCAGCAGGCCCUUGUGGUGCUGGGGACUCACGGGAGACCGCCGGGGUCAACUCGGAGGAAGGUGGGGACGACGUCAAGUCAUCAUGCCCCUUAUGUCUUGGGCUGCACACGUGCUACAAUGGCCGGUACAAUGAGCUGCGAUACCGCGAGGUGGAGCGAAUCUCAAAAAGCCGGUCUCAGUUCGGAUUGGGGUCUGCAACUCGACCCCAUGAAGUCGGAGUCGCUAGUAAUCGCAGAUCAGCAUUGCUGCGGUGAAUACGUUCCCGGGCCUUGUACACACCGCCCGUCACGUCACGAAAGUCGGUAACACCCGAAGCCGGUGGCCCAACCCCUUGUGGGAG